rnacentral:tRNA from 1 species
GAGAAUAUAGCUUAAUGGUUUAAGCAUUUGCCUUUUAAGCAAAGGAUUAAGAGUUCGAGUCUCUUUAUUCUCA